rnacentral:rRNA from 1 species
GGAUUAGAUACCCUGGUAGUCCACGCCGUAAACGAUGGGCACUAGAUGUUGGUUCUAUCUUAACGGGUAGGAUCGGUGUCGCAGCUAACGUAUUAAGUGCCCCGCCUGGGGAGUACGAUCGCAAGGUUGAAACUCAAAGGAAUUGACGGGGGCCCGCACAAGCGGUGGAGCAUGUGGUUUAAUUCGAUGCAACGCGCAGAACCUUACCGGGGCUUGAACUGCUAGUUAAAGCCUGUGAAAGCAGGUGUGCUCUUCGGAGCGAGCUAGUAGAGGUGCUGCAUGGCUGUCGUCAGCUCGUGUUG